rnacentral:lncRNA from 1 species
AAGCGUUUGUUAGAAGGAUGUUGUUGGCGAAUGAGGCCCCUGAUUCUAGAAGCACCUUUAUUUUAUUUAAGAUUGUAUUUAAGGAAAGAGCUAAUGAACAGUGUUUUGUCAGUGUUCAUGUUUCAGAGAUUGUCAUUUAGAGUAAUCAGUGUUUUUAAAAAAUAGUUAAAUGUGCCAUAAGUGGUGUGUUUCCCCUUACAAGUCAGUGUUAGUGUACCAAAGUGAUCUACCCCUUCAGAUACUUCCAAGAUAUGUGUUGUAAUAAUUUUUUUUCUCUACAUUAUAUUACAUUACUCUUCAUUAAUGUUGUAUACAUACGUUUAGUGACUGCUUGUACGUUUGGGUUGUUUUAAUGCUUUGUCGUUUCAGUUAGCAGUAUCUAGCCAAAGAGAUCAGGUACAUUUUUAUGUUAAGUUGAGUCAGUGCCUUUUAAUGCAUGUAUGUAUUGAAUGUACAGUACAUACAUGCCUGGGUUUGAAUGUGUUGCUGGACUACCUAUAACAGAAGUUGUACCUCAUUCAGGGAGUGAACUGGCUUAUGCGAUGUACAGAAGCUAUGUGAGGUUGUACAUCUGAACCUGAUGUGUCAUACUAGAACUGGUUGUGUUGUUGGAAUAGAGGGGGUGUGAGUGGCUAAAUAUAGAAUUAUGUUUUCCCUCUAUAUUCUAUCACACGUUGCAGAGCACAGACUGUGGAUUGGAGUGCCUUCUUUAAAAAAUAAGCUGCCUAGCUGGAGCACUUUAUGUACUGUAUAUUCGUUUGAGUGAGUCAGAAUUACAAAUACUGUCCUCAAUGGGACUGCAGGUGGAAAGGAUGCUAAAUGAUGUUACACAACAUUCAAAUUAAAACCUGCUUGAUUUCCAGCAGUUGCCAAAUACAGGUACUACCACUAAUUUCAGAGUGGUAUGUGUUGCUGCAGUAGCCAAAUAAUAUUGUUAGAUGUUGUAAACUAUUGAACAAAAGCUUGUUUAGGGUUUUAAGUCUUGUGUAUUUGUGAUUUAUUAGUAAAGAUGAGUCAAGGUUCUAUCCACAUGAUCUCUUAAAGCAGGUUCUUAAACCCAAGACAGUCCACAGUUUGAUCUAAUUUCAGUCCCUUAAUACAUACGGAGCACAAAAUGGACCAUAGAGCGCUUUGAGAACCUAGGGC